UACGUAGGGUGCGAGCGUUGUCCGGAAUUAUUGGGCGUAAAGAGCUCGUAGGCGGCUCGGUAAGUCGGGUGUGAAACCUCCAGGCUCAACCUGGAGACGCCACCCGAUACUGCUGUGGCUAGAGUCCGGUAGGGGAGCGUGGAAUUCCUGGUGUAGCGGUGAAAUGCGCAGAUAUCAGGAGGAACACCAGCGGCGAAGGCGGCGCUCUGGGCCGGAACUGACGCUGAGGAGCGAAAGCGUGGGUAGCAAACAGG
rnacentral:rRNA from 1 species